rnacentral:rRNA from 1 species
CAGUAUCCGCGGUAAUACGGAGGGUGCAAGCGUUAAUCGGAAUUACUGGGCGUAAAGCGCACGCAGGCGGUCUGACAAGUCAGAUGUGAAAUCCCCGGGCUUAACCUGGGAACUGCAUUUGAAACUGUCAGGCUGGAGUCUUGUAGAGGGGGGUGGAAUUCCAGGUGUAGCGGUGAAAUGCGUAGAGAUCUGGAGGAAUACCGGUGGCGAAGGCGGCCCCCUGGACAAAGACUGACGCUCAGGUGCGAAAGCGUGGGGAGCAAACAGGAUUAGAUACCCGCGUAGUCCCUGUCUCUUAUAC